AACACCCAGUACUCACUGGUGGAAGACAUAUUCAGAGCGUAGAAAUGUAAAGGUAAAGUAAUACUACGGUUUAAAAUGAUAGGCCUACAUGUACAUUUCCAGUCCUGCAUCUGACAUCUCCCUUAAAGUUAAAAGUAGCAGCUGGGCUGAGCACCUGGGUGUGUAUGGAACUGGACAUCCUUAUUGAUUACUGUAGGGAGGAGCGGUCCCAGACAUCACGGCUCCCUCGCUGCAUCCCCGGCGUAGAAAGCAAGCAACACAAGGAAAGUGAAGUAAAGCAAUUUGAACACCGAGCCCCAGUAUGACCUUUGAUUAUGAGAGGAAUACAGCGGUGCUCAUAUCCCAGGCCUCCCGGUUCCCUCUCAACAUGAUGAAUGGGACACCCUCAGCUGCAGGACAAAACAACCAUUCGAGGAUCUAGGGUAACGCGCACACACACACACACACACACUUACACUUACACACACACUUACACAAGCACACACAUGUACACACACACACACACACACACACACACACAGAGAAAUGCUGACAGACAAAUGACACUCUGAUGGAAAGUGAAGCACUUUUAAGUCCUUAAAUGCCACCAGCAGUGCACACACACACACACACACACACACACACACGGUCUGUAAUAUUACAACACCUACACUUAUCUCCUUGUGUUUAAAGCACGUUUAACACUGUGCUGCCCUUGAAAAGAAACCAGUUAAGCUGAGGCUUUUAUCUUGCGAGCAGGUUCGUGUGUGGAUUUAUUAGUAGAAAAAUAGAAACACCCAUUAUGGCUUAUUGAAACAGUUCCAAACGUACCCAAAUGUGGUUUAAAAUUAUGCAGUUUAUUAAGCAACAAUGAGCAAUUUAUGUAAACACAGUUCAAACGAGCGCUGCUCCUGUAUACACCUUAAAAAUCCUCCUUUUUUGAAGUGGUUUUAUUUUGGGGUUUUUCAUAGUAAUUUAUUGGCUCAAAGUGCACAGUGCAGUGUUAAAACUGAUUUGAUAUGGAAACCUGCAGGGACAUAUUAAUUAAAAUAGCAAUCUAAUUAGCAUUCCGCUGUGACCUAAAAGUUGAAUAUUAUUAGAGCCGCAACCGUCGGCUGUGAUGAAAAGAGCUUACAUGACAGUGAAAUUGAAAUUCAAAGAGCUGGAGAUAAUGUACACACAGAUCAAAAGAACAAACGGUGGGGAGAAAAAUAACACACCAAGAAGUUUUACAUUUCCUCACAAGGGGGUAAAUCCAGCGUGUGCACACUCCUGCACCCACACACAGGCACACGUGCACACGAGAACACACACUCUCACUCAGUAUUGGGUAGUUUGGUGUAAUUCAAUCCCCAAAAAGUCUGCCAGAUACAAAUAUCGCUGCUAUGACAUUAUCAGUAGGGUUGUAAUGGAGGGUAAACUCACUUUGCUGUCGGCUUUUUAUUUGCUGAAUAGAGUUUGUCCUAAAUUUUUAGGUCAUAUAAAUCUUUCUUCAUGAUUUAAACUGAUUGUAAAUGUUGUUCUUCUGAGUAGUACUAAAGUCAUAUGAAGACAUAAUGUUAUAAUGUAUUAAUAACACCAUAAAAUCAGCAAGUGAAGUAUUUCAAUGCAUAAAUAAACAUUCUGCACACAAUUACUUUUUCGAAAACACUUCAGUAACUGUUUGAAUUUGUACAGUACUUACAGUAGCAUAGUGAUCUGCUGCAACUAUGACAACAUACAAAAAGUGUUGUCAUUGUGCGACAUCAACAACUUUUAACUGUUGACAUGAUCGUCAGUUUUGUGCACUGAUACAUAACUCCGGACUAGUGGUGGAAGAACUCAGAUUCUUUACUCAAAGGUGCUCUAUAUGAUAUCCAGAACAUUAAUAAAGCAGCAAACCACUAUUUGCUAUGUAAAGAUAUGGUGGAGUAAUGUCUACCUGAGCAGAGAAUGAAGUCAGUCUCCCUCUGUGUGUGUUGUAAUCCGAGCUUCUCUGUGCUUUGUUGACAUAGCCGGGCCGAUCGUGCGUGCUUUUAGUGUAUGUGAGUUAGCCCUACUGGCUAGCUCAGGGCCGACUUAUGCGGCGGUUACAGCUGAUAACACCGUCCCGACCGAUGCCGCUGUUAUGGAAGCGUAGCCCCCACCCUCCGGUUACCCCUCAGGUAAACACUGUUAGCUCUGUCAGUAGUGUUGCCGUUGUUUUCACUGUUAGCAUCGUUAG